rnacentral:lncRNA from 1 species
UUUUUUUUUUUUUUGUGAUUUUGAAAAAUGUACCCAUGUUUGAUACAAUAAUGUUUUUGGUUAAUUUUGAUGAAUGUACCCAUGUUUAUAUAUAUAUACACACACACACAAUAGUAUAUUUAUAUUUUAAUAUUUUUAAUCCCACAAAUUAUGGUUUUUUAUUUAAAAUCUCAUUUAUAUAAACAACUAAAAUUUCUAAUUUUUAAUUUAAAAAUUAUAGUAACGUACAUAGAAAUGAAUUAUCACAUUGAUUUUAGGAAUCUCGAUCAAAAAUUAAAAAUCAACAAGAUUUCAAUAAAAAAAUAUUUAUAGCUAAAGACCGCAUCUAAAGUCUCCAAAAAAAAUUAAAAUGAGAAAUGAAUCGAACGUCCCCUAUUUUUCUCUUCAUCCCUUUCUAACUCUUUUAUCGUCCUCCAUCUUCUAUCUCUUGCAUCCACCCCACCUACCCCACGCCAAAUUCUGUCUUUUCUUUUCUCCCUACUUUUCAACCCUUAGUACUCAAUUGGAAUUCGAGAAUAAAUAUGGAUAAGAAUAUUAAUUCCAGAUCUGGUAACGAGAGAGAGAAAGAGAUCUAGAAAAACAAAGAAAGGAGAGGACAAAGAAAGGAAGGUAAGUUUUCCAGCAGCAAAGGGAAAAUGAGCUACUGCAGUCAUAUGUGGUUGCUUUCAGCUAGGUGGGUGGGGACUUUUGUGGCAGUUCCAUUUUCGAAAAUCUCCAGGAUUAAAUCAUUCUUUAUAUUUAUUUUAUUUAAAAUUUAAACAUGUUAGGGAUAUUUUUUGGAAUACAAGUGGGUGGAAAUGGAGUGUUUGGUUUUUUAAACAUUUUAUGGUGGGUGAAAAUUCAACGUGAGUAAGAAAAUAAGAUUAUAGGAUGAGCAUUGUAGAACUAUAUAGGUUUUUAUUUUUAUUUUUAAUAAACGAUAUUAUCUACACUAAGGGGAGGGGAUGUGUUUAGCUUCACAAAGAGCUAGCAAUAAUGUGGUUCAAAUUAAAUUUGUCUUUGGCGAGAAAACAUCUCACUUACAAGUAAAGAGGAAUACCACUAGACUGUAAUACUAAGUGGCUAAAUAGUUUUUUUUUUUUAUUUUUUCAAAUACAAUGGUGGCGUAGUAAUCUGUCUUGUCUAUUAUUGAGUACCAAAAGUUUUUUUAUGUUUAAUUUUAUACUUGAAAGAAAAUGAAACGUAAAUAUACAACAUAUUUCUAUAUGGCAUGCUUCUUGUAACAUCUCAUAUCGUCCAGAGGAGUGGAUUAUGUAAGCCUUAUAUGUAUAUUCCUAUCUUUACCUAGCAUAAGGUCUUUUAGGAGCUCACUAGCUUCGGGUUCCAUCAAAACUCCGAAGUUAAGCGAGUUCGCGUGAGAGCAUUCCCAAGAUGGGUGACCCACUGGGAAGUUCUCGUCAAGUUCCCAGAAACAAAACCGUGAGAGUGUGGUAGAGGCCCAAAACGGACAAUAUCGUGUUACGGUGGAGCCGAGCCAGGGAUGUGGUGGGGGCCCGAGCCAGGAUGUGACAAUUUGGUAUCAGAGUUAAUCUCUGGUUGGAAGUGUGCCGACGAGGACGUCGGGUCCCUAAAUGGGGUGGAUUGUAACAUCGCACAUCACCCAAGGAAGUGGAUCCUAUAAACCUUAUAUGUAUAUUCUCAUCUCUACCUAGCACGAGGCCUUUUGGGAGCUCACUGGCUUCAGGUUCCAUCAGAACUCCGAAAUUAAGCGAGUUCGCGCAAGAGUAUUCUCAUGAUGGGUGACCCACUGGGAAAUUCUCAUAUGAGUUUCCAGAAACAAAACUGUGAGGGUAUGGUAGGGGCCCAAAGCGGACAAUAUCGUGCUACGGUAGAGUUGAACCCAGGAUGUGAUGGGGGCUCGGGCCGGGAUGUGACACUUCUCACAUGUAUUUCAUGAUAAAAUUGUCUCAUUUAAUAAUCAAUCAACAAUAAUUAAUUAAUAUGAGUGAACAAUUAUCCUUAGUAAAUGUCAUACUCAUUUAAAAAUAAUUAAAAGAUAAUAACUUAAUUAUCUCAUGCAAUCAAAGACUUUAUUGGUGGCUCUUUACAAUAGUGGUAAAAAGGUGUUGAGGCCUUACAUUACGGCAUAGGUUCAAAUCUUGUCGGCUUCUAAUCUAAUAUCUAAAGUUUAGCUUAAGCAUUGGAAAGCUUUUGGUUCACAUCACACCAAUGUGACAAGGUCUUAACAAUCUUUUCUUUCUUGUGUGCAAGAACACCGACAUCAUUCUGCGUUUGUGUCAAAAUCGUUAAUAUCAAAUUUUAAGCAAGGAAAAAAAUCUUAAUAUUUAAAAGUCUAUUAUUUUCUCCACAAAAGGGUCUCUUUUUUUUUUAAUAUGCUAACAUGGAAGUUUUUAUUUUGAAUUGUGCUAAUAUGGAAGUUUAAGCAAAGGAAAAAAAAAUCCUAAUAUCAUUACUUUAUUAAUUAUGACCCAUAUAUCAAAUACUAUAAGCAGUAAGCACCCCUAAUCACGACGUCAUUCUACGCAUACUUCAUUUGUGCGAAAUUCGUAAUGAUAAGUAAUAAGUAUUUUUUUUAGAAUAUGCUAAUAUGGGAGUUUUUUUUUUUAUUGUGCUAAUAUGGAAGUUUAAUCACAGGAAGAAAAAAAAAUCCUAAUAUCAUUAAUUUAUUGAUUAUGGCUCAUACAUCAUAUACUAUGAGCAGCAAGCACCCCUAUUUUUCUUUUUGUAAAAUCAUUAAUGUUCUCUUACAAUCCGCAUGGAAUUAAUAGUCUACACAAAAAAUUCAGAUAAGAAUGUUCUACACAAAAAAUUCAGAUAAGAAUGUUCUACACAAAAAAUUCAGAUAAGAAUGGUUUAGACAUCCAACAAAAUUUAAACGUGUAAAAUCAAACAUAAUUAAUGAAUUUGCUAAUGUGGAAUUUAAUUAAUGCGUUUUAUUAGAAUAAAAAACUUACGUCGGGUUUUUUUUGUAGAGAAAAUUAAGUUUCAGUGGCUAAAGUCAUAUUUGUAUUAAUAAUUUUUUUAACAAGGUAUUUCUAUACUUACUUAUAUGGGUUUUGACUGCUAAUAUGGGAGUUUUUUUUUUCUUUUUUUUUUUUUUUGAGAAUAUGCUAAUAUUUAUGGAAUUUUAAGAAAAGGAAACAAAUCCUAAUAUUCUUAAUUAUUAAUUAAGGCCAUAUAUCCAUAUACUAUAAAGCAGUAAGCACCAUCCAGCCAACCCAAACCACCAUUGAACCCUUCUAGCAGAAAAUAAUGACUGCAGUUGAUCACAAACAUCAACUACCCAAACCAAACAAUGGUUUAGCCAAACCAAACAAUUUACAAACACAAACAAAAAUGCAAACAAAUGCGCGAAAGCGGUACAUAGAUGCUACCAUUGCAGCAGCCCUCAGCAAUAAUAUGUCACAAACUUCAAAGAACCCUCUUGAUGAAUUGCCUCGUCUUAAACUCGAAUUUUACCCUUAUGGCAUGUACAUUGUACAACUUGGGCUUGGCACUUUCGAUGCGAAGUUCCCGGCCAGCACAUUCAAAACAUACUACUUGUACACAGACACCGGGAGCCAACUCAUUUGGACUCUGUGUGAGGACUGCCUAAAGCAAAAGCCUCAACCGAAAUGCUUUAAAACCAGGGAUCCCCCCUUCCCUAACAGCCAGUCCAAAACCUAUAUGCCUCUUCCUUGUGGUGGCCACCGCCUUUGCAAGCCAGGCAAAUGCAAAGGGGGUAUCUGCUCCAUGGACUCUAAGUACCAGGACGGCAGCGGUGUCCGUACUACUCUCGGAAGUAUGGAUUUUGACAUUAAAUUUAAGUUUUGAUAAUAUUAUCCAAAUCUUUGCAAUAUUUAUUAGUUACAUACAAAAUAGAGCUAGAUGGACACCACCAUAAUUUUUUCAUGCAGAUUUUUUAGAGUGUUUGUCAGUUUUGUAUGCUUAAGUAACAUUUUUUUUUCUUAUUUGAAAAGUUCAUGUUCACCACUUAACUUUACAAGACCAAAUACUCAUUGGCCAACAAAAUUUUAAUUUAAUUAUCUCAUGAUAUCGAUAUUUAUUUUAGUUAUGGUCCUUAUAUCUAAUAUUUUGUUCAUAUCUGAACUUUAAUGGUAUUAUAACAUUCUUUCUAAACCUUUUGUAUGUUCGCUUACAUCGAUAUUUAGUACGUGCACCGGCUAGCACAACUAACUUGACACAUAACACGAAAGUUGUUCACUAAUGAAAAUGUCAUUCCGUAUAAUUUCUCAUUUCAUUGCAGGUGAAGCUUUCAGUCUUUUGACAACCAGCGGGCGUGCACAGGCUAUUGGUAACAUAGUGUUGGGUUGUGCUUAUGAAGCGACGGCGGACAUCUUUGGCGCGGGUGAGGACUAUAAGGUAUCCGGAAUGUUGGGUUUGGGAUAUAAUCCUAUUUCCUUUCCAAACCAAAUAUCCCAUCUUAUUGAUGGAGCAUUCUCAUUCUGCCUAACACGCCGGAGAGAUGUUCAAACAUAUCUCCGAUUUGGUUCCGACAUCCCCCAACCACUUGGUGGCGUACGCGUCACGCCAUUAGUUCUUUCUGAUCUCGUACCCUAUUACCAUGUCAACUUGAAGGCAAUAAGUGUGGAUGGACACAAGCUUCUAAUUAAUCCGACGGUUUUUGAGAUCCGGAAGCGGGGGACAGAAGGAGGAUGUAUUAUAGACAAUGGAAGUUCUUUUACUCUUCUCAUCAACCCUGCUCACAAGGCAUUGGUUAUGCAUCUGGAGUACCAUUUUAUGAGAUACCCUAGCUUUAAUAAGGUUCUUCCCCCUAUUUACCCGAAGUUUGAGCUUUGCGACAACUGGUCGCCGCCUCCGCGCGAGGCUAACGAGGCCCUCCCUACUAUUACCUUUCACUUUGAUGGUCCGAACCAUCCUAACAUUGACGUCGCACCCGAAAGCGGUUUCAUAUUGAUGCACGACCGGUCGUCUAACAGAGAUAUUUUAUGCCUGGCGUUCGCUUCAGAUGAUGUUCGUACUAUUUUUGGAUCAUGGCAACUAAGCGAUUACAGAUACAUAUUUGACCUUAAAAGGAGCCUACUCAAGUUUGCUCCAGAGGAUUGUGCUAAGAAUUCUUGAGCAGCUCAAAGCUUAGACGAUCAUGCAUGUCUAUGUUUUCUAUUUAUAUGUAGGUUCUCUUUGGCUGAAAAUAAAUUGCCUCAAGUUCCCUUAUGAUGAUUUGGUCAUGUAAUCUUCUUCCUUUGAUAUAUAGGAGUUGGAUCCUCUCAUUUUCUCUCUCAUUUCAUUUAAUCAGAAUCCAAAUAUUUGAGUUUUUAUUUUGUUUUCUGGAAGAUUGCUCUUGAAUUACAACUUUUUCGCUCGCAUUUUCUCCUUAUGCACUCUUCUGUUUGUUCAACCCAAAGGCUAUAAAAAGGGAAGGAAAGUACGCAUAGGAAGUGCAGAAUCUCUUCCUUAAAGGAGAUAAAAUGGAAUAAUGUAGUACAUUGAACAAUGUACAAUCUAUUUUUGAGAAAAAUAAGUAUUUUUUUUUAUGUUUACUUGGUUAAACAAAUACAUAAAAUUGUUAGUUUAUAAAACGAAAAACUAAAUACAAUAUACAACAAUUAGGGAAAUAUAGAAUGCCUUGAUAAAUUAAGGAAAAUAUAUUGGGUUGAAAGGGCAGUGUUGUAAAAUGAGACCCUUAACUCAAGUGAGGCCCAAGGUAGACCUUGGUUUCCUUGCUUGGUACCGGGCCCAAGUCUCCGUAUACCUAGUAAUAUUUUGAGAAUUUUAAUGAAACAUUUAUAGUAUUGUUCACUUUUUAACGUUAAAGACAUUUUUACUUUAAAAAAUCACUCCUGAUACUAUUCACUUACAACAUAUUUUUGUCAUUUUGAUUAAAAUUCAAAGUUUUUAAGUCUUUUUCAUUAGUUUUCCUUAAUAUUCUUGAAUAAUCCAAUGGUAGUUCUCUUCUCCACCAAUCCGCUCCUAGUUCCUAACCCCAUCCAAUCCACGCCACCAAACAUGGCGUAUUCUAAUCCCAUCCAAUCCUGAUUCUCGGGAUAGAAAAACGGAGAAUGGUUUCCCCUCUCUUCUUUGAACCUGCGAUCCAAACUCCCACAAACGAAACGAGAGGAGACCAUCAUAUUCCAGUUUAAAGGAAAAAGAAGUUUGAGCCAUAAUUUAACCCGAAAGAUUUCGAAAAAUACGAAAAUAAAAUAAAAAGAAAGAAUAAGGAAAAAGUUUUCAUCUAAGUACAAAACUACAAACUACUUGGAGUCCAAGCAUUACGACAGUGGAUUGCAACCUACUUGCCGAUCAUUCGCACGCAAUCUUGGUGUCAAAGCUGCUAAGGCAAAUGGCAAAUGCCUGAAAGGCUGAGAUUGGAUACCGAUAAUCCAUGGUGAAGACAUCCUUACCCACUUUUCCAAACUGAAGAAUGACAUUUUCAUGCUCCUGGCCCGCAACUCCAUUCUCCGGAGAAGAAACCAGCUGAAAAUUUUUGACUGAGGCAACUGUUACUCGUCCAUUGAAGUUGAGACACCAGCACUGGAGCUGUUCGUGCCACCUAGGCGCCUUGUUUCUCAAUACCAGCAUGCCUUCAUUCUCACCAGACUCUAGUGGAGAUGGGAAAUUCUCUGUCCGGGUUGAUUUUGAUCUGAAAAAAGGGACGGAUGGAAAACUAUCCGUGUUGCUAUGCAGAAAUUCAGUCUGUGUUGGUGCCACACCUCCUGGCUCAACAGCACGGGCAGGGAUGGAGUCCAUUACACACUGCAUUCUCCUCGGACCUCUGAUAUUGACAGUAUUUACAUAAAAUGUUACUCACAAAAAAACCACAAGAAAAAGGAAAGUUACCAUCUUAAAGCUUUUGGUAAAUUGUCUUCAACGUUAGUUUCAUUUAAAGGCAAAGACCAGGAAGUUUCAAAAAGAAGUUUAUCAUACCUGGCACCCAUGACGUUCAACUCAUAAGCAAUGUGGGCCACAGGAUAGUUGCCAGCAGGAACUCUGGGAGAGACUUUAUUCACAAGCCUGGUUGAACGACAUUUAGUGACUUUGCCUCCACUAUUAGUAGGUUGCGCAUCAUAGAUUGUGAAUUUAGUGCCCAGAAAAUUUGAUCUGUUUGAGGAAAAUGGGCCAAACAACUUAGGGCUAAAAGAUGAUCAAGAUGUAGUCAUGUUACAGGGCUGAUGAGCAUACCUGAGUUUUCCAACAAAGGCACUGUUCCCUUUUGACACAACCUCGGCAUUCAAAGAGAUGAUGUAGUCUGUGCAGGUUGGGCGUCUACACUUUUUUGCCGCAAGAAGGAACUUCCCAUCAUCAGUUGAGGCUGGCAAGUACAAAAUGCUAAAACAAUUAUAUUUACAUCUGGGAAGAAAACCUGAACUUAAAAUCUAUGUUUUAGCAACUUAAUGAAACCCGAAAUCAAAACCUUAUCAACCUUUUACCAUGAGCAUUAUAGACAACCCUAUAAAAGAAAAACUUGGCAAGCACAACCACACAGGACAAAACAUUCAGUAAUUACCUUGACUUAAACCCAGAAAAAGAUAAUAUGUCUGGUUGCUACGACUCCGCUUUAUAUAACACUGCAGGAGGGAGUUCCUUGGACCAGGCUGCAAAAUAGUAAACAAAGACUUCAACUGAUAUUUCAAUGGAGAAGGGGUAGAUAUGAUAACAACAUGAUUGUCGAGUAAUAAGAAAUUAAUCUAAGAAGCUUUAUGAAAACUUCUAAUGAGAAUAUAUGUCAAAUUUUUAAAAAAUCACAUCAAUCACAAGAAUGUUAACCUUCAAAUCAGUCCAAAAUGUUACAAAAUUUUAACGUGUCGAGUAAUAAGAAAUUAAUCAAAGAAGCCUUACGAAAACUCUUAAUGAGAAUAUAUGUCAAAUUUUAAAAAAUCACAUCAAUCACAAGAAUGUUAUCGUCUUUGGAAAACUUUCAAAUCCAUCCAAAAUGUUACAAAACAUCAACACUUGAGCUAGUCAGUUGUUGCCUACCCUAUACAUUAAAACUUUUCAUUUGGUCCUUCAAAAUUAUAAAGAUCACAUAACGUGAGCGUUAUAACCAUUACUAAGUGAAACACUCAUACCAGUAUACACAGUGUCCAUCAUAAUUCAUGAAUAUGCAUGUCAAAAUUUGCCAGCUAGCAUUGUUACAUACGAUAUAAGCAUAUUUUCCUAACUCUGAAUAUCAAUUCUAAGUUAUACCAAGAAACAUAUUAACGAAAAAUAAAUACAUUAUAAAGCACAAUUGGAAAAUAUAUGAACAAGAAUCUUUACUAGGAAGGAUGCGUGCCGGUCUCACAAACCUGCUUCAAAGAGAUCGGGAAUGUCAGCUUGCCCGAAACUUCUGGGGAUUUCACAAUCUCUUUCAUGAUUUCUCUCCAAUUCCUGCAAACACCAGCACAACACACCACAUUUUUCCUCGGAGGCCAUGUAUCAUCAGAGGCCUCUAUUCUCAUCAACACAUCCCUCAAAAGCUCCGGAGGCAUAUUCGCCCAACAACUCUGCUUCAAAGCAUCAACGCGAAACGAGGUAUCCUGAACAACCCGCUGAGACCUCGAUCUCAUUCCAAAUUUAACAUCAAAGCUUUUCCUAGAAAUGCUCCCCAACUCACCUUUCAUAUCUUGAAUCAUACUCUUAAAAGACAUCGCUGCUUCCCUAACCCUUGCCUUCGCAAAACUCAAAACCGCAAAACUUUGUACAAACCCUCCAACCUCUCCAGAUUAACCCACAUUCAUCACAAAAAACCAGAACUUCACCAUGAAAUGUAAGAUAAUUAGCCCUAAGAAACAAAACCCAGAAACCUAAACCACCAAAGUUUGAUGCUUUCAAUCAAAGUAGCCAACCAUUAACAAUUCAAUAUAAAAUUUCUUCCCUCAAAUGUGAAUCCAAUAAACACCAUCCUAUAUAUCAUUGAUAAAUCCAAUAACUGAAACAUACCCAGUACAGAUCAAACCGCCAAAUAGAAUCAAAAUCUGAUAUUUUCCCACAGAUCUCUCUUUCCAACAGUUGCAAAAUCACCCUACGAGAAACUUAAAGUCUAACGUCUCGGAUAAACCAUUAAAGCUUCACACUUCUACAGAGAUUGAGCCAAACCAACCUCAGAAACCAGCUUACAGGACCAGAUUUUGAGUCAGAGACUGAUACCCAUUUGCGAAAAUGAUGUGAAUUUGGGCGCGGAGGAUUUACAUGGCUUUGGUGAUCAGUGUUUUUGCGCUGCACCGCUGAGAGAAGAGAACACUGUGAUGGCAGAUGAUGGGUUCUGUUACCAAUACACUCCCUCCUCCUUAUCCAUAUACUUCCUAGUUCCUAUUGUCCGAAUUCGAGUUUGGUUCCGGGUUUGGAUAGUUCUGGAUGGAUUGGAUUAAUGGGUUUUGGUUUUUCUAGUUUAGCCCAACCCAACAAUGGAUUGAUAAGAUUAAACAUGGCAUUUGAACAAUUUUGACAUGAUAGUGGAAUGGAGAGUGGUUCGGGCAUAACCUCCCCUUUGAACACUUUUGCAUUAACCCGUUGGAUUUAAUUUAUUGAUUUGGAGUGGAUUUGGUUUUAAAUGGUUAGAUUUUUUUCAACCGUUGAAAGUUUCUGAGCGCUUAAUGGCGCGAAAGUAUUGUCGUAAUAAUGAAUAUAUAUUGACGUAAUUUUACUGUUUUGUUUUUGGAAAUUUGACAAUUGCGAGGUUCUAAGUUUUGUCAUAACAAUAAGUAGAUAUUGCAAAAUUAACUAUUUUCGUUAUGUGAAUUGUACCGUUGAAAGGUUGUGAGCACUUAUGGCGCACACAUAUUGUCGCACAGUAAGUAAAUAAUGACAUGUUUACCAUAUUAUGUGAAUUGUUGCAAGGUUAUGAGCAUUUAAUGCCACACAAGUAUUGCAGAAAUAGAGACUAGAUAUUGGCAUAUUUACUAUUUUGGCUAUAUGAUUCGACCGUUGAAAAGUUAAGAUCGCUUAAAUUGCACACAAGUAUUAUCUAUGACAAUGACAUGAACCAAUCCGUUCUAGAAUUUUUGGAAGGGAUUUUUCAGUGUGAUCGGAAUACGAGAUGAUACACUACGUGUUAUUAUACAAAUCGUGGGAUAUGUGUGUUAAAAAGUUAAUAACUUACAAAAAUGAAAUUUCCUACCACUUAUAUAAAAACACGUGGUGUACCACCCAUGUUCAGAUAUAAUGAAAAAUUGGCAUCUCUGUACCUUUGUCCUGCUCUCAUAGGAUAAUUCGUGAUAAAGGUUAUUGAACCUUUUUCUCUCCAGAUUUGAGUGAAUAGGUAUGUAUCCAGACGCAGUCACGUAGUCCUUCCAAAUGCUUAUUUCUUGUCUGGACAAAUGCACCUAGUUUUCAAUAUGGGGUAGUGUCAUUGGUGGAUAGUUUUCAUUAACUGGGAGGUCAGCGACCAAAGAUCACUGUGACUGUGUAGAAAAUUUAGUUCUCGUCUUGGCCGAUGGUCUAAUGUUUCAAGUACGAUUGCUACUUCUGUUUUUGAUGGAUGGCUUGUGAAGAUUGAUGAUGAAAACUCAAGAGACUUGAUCAAUUUUUACAAAGGGGACUAUUUUUUUCUUAAAUAAGUAUAAAAAUGGCAGAUGAAUUUGGAUAUUAUAUCUGCCUCAUUUGAAGAAUCUGCUUAAGGAAAGAUUAUUGUUACGAGCGUGCAUGGACGAGGAAUCUGCAUUUGUUGUGAAUGAUGAUCAUCUUAAGAAGGAAAGUCGACAUCCAUUGACGUUGAAUCUGCAAUUGUAUUUGGAUCACGUUGGGUUUGGUUUGAAGUGCUGGGGAAGCAGGCAAAGAAGGCAGCCUGCAUAUUUGGAAAGGAAGCUAGAAAAUUUGCAAAAGAAAAGUCAGCAAGUGGAGAAGAAAAGGAUGUCUAGGAGUAGGAGUACCGUUUGCAUUGAUCGUAGUUUUGGAAGCCUUUGCUCGAUAGCUCUUGUUGUCCCGGCAGCGGAAGCUGUCCAUAUUAGGUUCGAGGCACAAUGCAGACUGCAAAGAUCAACCAAGUAAACAAAGCUCUAAAAUUGAAACUCAUCGCUAAUGACGAUUCUCUUCUGGUUUGUAUGGUUGGCAAACUGACCAAGUUGAAGAAGUUGUCACCUUUAAUAUUCUCAUGGGUGCAUAUAGCAAAAAAAUAAGAUUUUUUGAGUGCAUCGAUAUUUUUUACAUUAAAAGGAAGGGAAGUUCAGCUAAGUCAUACAAUGAACAGCCUAAUUUGAAUAACUAAAACAUCUCAUUUCUAAGUAAAAAAAAAUACCAGCAUACCGUAGUAUUUGAUGCUAAAAAUAGAGAUUUAAGUUUGUUGGAAAGCUGCUGGUAGAAGUGAAGCUAUUUGUGAGAAUGGAGCCAAAUGUCGGAAUAAAAUGUAAAAAUGCCAAGUGGCAUCUCUGUAUUGGAUAUCUAUUUGUACUCUUGUCCUGCUCUCAUUUGUCAAUGUCCAACUUGACUUGGGAAAUAGAGUUUUACUUUGGGUAAUUAGGAGAUAACGUUGGGAAGACGAAAAUUUUAAAUUAAAUUUGUAAAUUAAAUGAUGUGUCACUAAUAAAAAAAUAAGCACGUUAAUCAGUAAUUAAGUAAUAAUUCAACCAUCAACGAUCACAUCAUUUCAUUGCAUAAAAUACGGUCCGAUACAUCAAGAGUAAUGAUAUAAUUUGUUAGAAUUUUUUUCUCAAAUUUUCAAUUAAUUGUAUUAUUAUAUUUGAUAUACUAAGUCGUAAUCCGUCACAUUAAAAAAUUUGUCCUCGAAACAAGUGAGAAUGACAAUUAAGAUAAAAAAGGGAAAUGUAGCUAACAUUUCUCAUUUUAAUUAAGGGGUGUGAUAUCCACACACCUCAUUUUACUUCUCACACACCUUUUUAAUUUUCGGCCGUCGGAUCGGAUGAAUUGAAGAAGAUCAACGGACAUAAAUCAUCAAGGAGUGUGUGAGAAGUAAAAUGGGGUGUGUGGAUAGCACACCCCUUUAAUUAAUUUGUUUCCUUUUCCUUAAUCGUCUACAAAAACAAGGUCAGAGUUUUUGUAGUUAUUAUAAGCAACAACGACUAAUUAUAAGCAACAACUACUCAAACUUCAAAGCCGGCCGUUGCUGUUAGUUGCCCAAUUGGCGGGGAAUAUUAUAAUUUCCUCGUCGCGUAGACUGCACAACACGGUUAGAUCCAGAUCCCACUUCAAUCCAACGGCCGUAUAUCUCCCGCCGUAUCUAACCCAACAGUCCCCGUCACCGUUGCCUAUAAAUACUCCUUUCUCCUUUCUUUCGGGGUCUUUCAGGUUUCUGCUUUUCUCUCUCUAAAUACUCGUUAAUAACUCCCUCGCAGUCACUCUCUCUCUAGAACUCUUUGAUUUCUUCUGUAUCUGAAACUCCGCCUACGCCGAUUGUACUCCGACUCGAAUUCUCUCUCCUUCUGCUGUGGAUUGCGAUCACAGGUGAGCGAUGUUAUUUUUCUGACUUCUGUUUGGUUUCCGAGAAAGUGGAAGAAAAUUUGAAAAGAAAGUUUUUUUACUUAGAAAGAAAAGGAAACUUUCUUUUAAGAUUUCUUAAAGCCUUAAGCUUUACCUGAAAAUCGCACUUAGUGUAUUUGUUCUAUGUGUUUGAAUUUCAUUAAAUUUUUGUUAACGUUUGGUUAAAAUCUUCAUUAGCGUAUACGAUCGAAUGCUUGAUUUUUAUUUUUUAUUUUUUUGGGACGGUGAAGUUUUGGUAGGGUUUCGUGGCCGAUGGAGGUCUCUACUUUGGUGAGAUUGGGGGUGAGAUCGGCCACCAGUGAAGCUUCCGUAGAUUCGAUCACUUUGUUCGUGGUUCUCCUAUGUUUAUGCAUUGUGAUUGGUCAUCUUCUGGAGAAGGCUCGAUGGAUGACGGAAUCGGUAACAGCGCUUCUCAUUGUAAGUUUCCUCAGAUUUUUAUGCUUUAGAACCGGUUUAGGAAUUCGAUUGCUUCUCUAAAUCGAAAAGUCAAAGGUGCUUCUAACCACAUUUGUUAACUAAUAUGUAAGUACUUCUGGAAAAGCACUUAGAUAUUUAAUAAAAGUCUGAGUAUGUUUCUAGUCUAGCAGAAGCACUUAUGAGCAGAAUCGGAUAUUACCUAAUUGUUUUGAAAUUUGUGGAUGACUGUUAUUGGGGUUUGAUUGCAGGGUCUUUGUAUUGGAAUUGUUAUUCUACUAACUACCAAGGGGAAAAGCUCACACAUCUUAGUAUUUAAUGAAGAUCUCUUCUUUAUAUAUCUUCUGCCGCCUAUUAUAUUUAACGCCGGGUAAGCUAUGUAUUUCGUAUCUAUUUCAUAUCUCUUCCUUCUCAUUGUGAUUUGUGUUUGUGUGCGCGCUUAUUUGUGCGUGUGCUCCUUGGCCGCAAUAUAUUCAAAAGGAGGGAAGGUUCAUCAUGAUCAAAUCUGAGUCGUUUAAGUAACAUUUUGCUUGGCAUUUAACAUGUCUCUAAUGGGAUGGAUACAAAUGUUAAGUUGUUUUAUUCUUGCAUCAUUCCUCAUUGUGUGUUAUAUUGAGGUGUCUUAAACUAGGGUUUUAUCGGUACUUUUUCCUCAUGGCUUGUUUGUGAUUGUUUUUCUGUGACCAAAGUUUAUACUUAUCUUUCCUUUCCUGGUCUCAUUCUUUUCCCACACCAGAUUUCAGGUGAAAAAGAAGCGGUUUUUCCAGAACUUCAUGACAAUCACGUCAUUGGGUGCUGUCGGCAGUUUAGUAUCAUUCGUAAUAAUAUGGCUAGGUUAGAUAUCCAAACAUGCCAUGGUAAGGCUGAUAUUACAAGAGAAACUAACGAAAGCUACGGUUUUUAAUGUUUGCAACUUCAUGAUCUUGAUGCAGGUUCAAUGCAUUUGUUUAAAAAUUUGGACGUUGGUUUCCUUGAGAUGGGAGAUUAUCUAGGUAAUCUCGUCGUUACUUUCUUAUUUUAGUCUACAUAACAUUCAAUUGAGUUUGCCCUAAUAAUUGUUUUGUAUUUGAAAAAUACUUCGUUUUGUUUGCCUUUUAUGUGCUCUUAUUUUUUGUUUCACUUCUGUAGCACUCGGAGCAAUCUUCUCGGCUACAGAUUCAGUUUGCACCCUGCAAGUGCUUAAUCAAGAUGAGACACCUUUACUCUACAGUCUAGUUUUUGGAGAAGGUGUUGUAAAUGAUGCCACAUCUGUGGUACUUUUCAACGCAAUUCAGAAAUUUGAUCUCUCUCGCAUCAACUCAACCAUUGCCUUGAAGUUUAGUGGCAAUUUCGUAUUUCUGUUGUUGACAAGCAUGGUGCUUGGUGCAGCGGUGACUCUCUCUCUCUCUCUCUCUCUCUCUCUCUCCCCCCCCCUCCCCAUCCUUCCCUCCGUCUCCCUCUCUCUCCCUCUGUGUGUGUGUGUGUGUUUGUUUGAAGAGCAUGCAUGUAAAUUUUCUCCGUUUCAUGAAAUGUAACCUAAAUCAAUUUCCAUGCAUGAUAUCCACUUGUAGGUUGGAUUGCUUAGCGCGUACAUCAUAAAGAAGUUGUACCUCGGAAGGUAGUGCUGAUGACCAUUUCUUAUAAUAAUACCCUAUUUUUCAAUGAUCAUGUCACUGUUUCUCUGAUAAUAAUUUUUAAAAUUUGUCCAGGCACUCGACUGAUCGUGAAGUUGCACUUAUGAUUCUAAUGGCUUAUUUGUCAUAUAUGGCGGCAGAAGUAAGAUUUCCAUAACCUCUUGGACUGAAAGCUCCAUCUAGUUUAGCUCCAGAUAUUUAUUUCUUGUUCAAUUCUGACCAAUUUUGUUCAUCUUCCAGCUAUUCAAUCUAAGUGGUAUUCUUACCGUUUUCUUUUGCGGGCUUGUCAUGUCACACUAUACCUGGCAUAAUGUAACUGAAAGUUCAAGAGUUACAACCAAGUAAGCCAACUUUGCCAAUAGUUUGCGUAGCAACGAAACUUAAUUUCUUUUUCUCAUAUAAAUGCACACAGAUGUAAAUGUAUAUAAAAAUACAGAACUUGGACAAAGAUGUCUUGUGUCUGUUUCUCACGUGCUAUUUCCGCAAGUGCAGGCAUGCUUUUGCAACGUUCUCGUUUGUUUCUGAGAUCUUCAUCUUUCUAUAUGUUGGUAUGGAUGCCUUGGACAUUGAGAAGUGGAAAUUCGUGAAGGAGAGGUAACACCUAUAUACAUGCACGUCAUAUAAUUUGUAAAACGUAUAACUCAUUAUGACAGGCAUGCAUUUUUCACUUUCGUCCAAAUGGAGCUUAUUUUCCUUGUGUUGGAUAGUGGCCAAAUUAGUGGCCAAGUGGACAACAAGCCAAAUGCCUCUCGGCUUUUAAACUAAACAAAGAAAAGUUUGGUGGACAUCAUCAUGGGUAAAGACACAAUGAUGAUGCUUGUAAGAAAAUAGAAAAAUGUGGUUGCUUUUGCUUUAAUGAUUAUGCAGAAAUUAUGAUGUUGGGGGAAGAAAAUGUGAGUGGCCUUGUGUUGAUGAGUGCAGCCGAAAGAGAGAAGAGGAGAGAGAGAAGGUAGAGUCUUUUGGUUAUAUUAAGGCAUUCGAUUAUGCCUUUGGUUGGGUGGGGGAGCAGCAUCAGAUGAGAGCCAUACUAGGGAGAGUGUUCGACUCUCCCAUUUGAAACAGUGUUGCUCCUUCCCAUUUGUUUGUAAUCCCCUUUUGUUAGUAAUCCCUCAAUCAAAGAUGUUGCUGCUACAUGUUGUGUAGCUUUUGGGAGAGGAGGAUUUGGUAUGUAUUUUCUUCUUCUCCGUUUGUUCUUUGUGAGAGUGAGAGCUAUUGGGUGUAUGUGGGAUGUGGGUUUGAGAGUUAAAACUCUAUUUGUAAUCUCCUUUUGAUAUUAGUGGAAUUUCCUGACCGUCUCGGAACUGAACAUAGGCUUAUGCCGAACCAGUAUAAAUACUUGUGUCAUUUGAAUUAUUUGUCUUAUCAUAUUUUGCCAUUGUAGCUUAUUGGUUUCAUAUUUGACGCUUCCGCACAACACCUUGUUCGUUUACAGCCCUGGGACAUCAAUUGGAGUCAGUUCGAUAUUACUUGGCUUAGUUCUUGUUGGAAGAGCAGCUUUUGUAUUUCCUCUAUGUUUCUUAUCAAACUUAACCAGGACAUCUCAGAUUGACAAAAUCGGGUUUAAGCAACAGGUUAGCUAUUUUCCAAAUCUGCUACUUCAAACUUUUCAGCCUCUUGAAUUUCUUAGUGAUUGACUGGUCGACAUAACUCAAACAGGUGACAGUAUGGUGGGCAGGACUCAUGCGUGGUGCUGUAUCCGUGGCUCUUGCUUAUAAUUGGGUAAGAAUAGGAUCAAAUUUAAUGUGUUUCCUAGUUUUCUUUUACUGCCACCCAAUAUUUUAUUUGGUUUAUACAGAUUGCGUACAAUUACAAGCACUCGUCAUUCAUCUGCAUUUGUGUUUUAAUGUAAGGAAGUUUGUAUUAUGCUGUGUUUCUUCAGUUUGCAAUGUCAACGCAUACUCAACAGCGUGGAAUUGCAAUCAUGAUCACUAGUACGAUAACAGUAGUUCUCUUCACUAAUGUGGUACAAUACUAAAUCGCUGGUUAACUUUUUUCAGUUCAUAUGAUUAACUAUUUUCUCAUGAGUUCAUUCUUUAAUUCCAAAUCGGUCUUUGGCCAUUGUAGGUGUGCGGAUUAUUGACUAAGCCUCUCGUAAGGUUCUUGUUGCCGCAACAGAAUCACUUAGAUAGCAUGAUGAUGUCCUCUGAGUCGGAGAUGUCUCUGGCUAUGCCGCUCCUCGCUAAUGAGGAAGAUCCAAAGUCAAAUAUGUCUAGCGAUAACAUUCCUCGUCCAUCCAGCCUGCGCAUGCUCUUGACGACACCAACUCGUUCUGUCCAUUACUAUUGGAGAAUGUUUGAUGAUGGUUACAUGCGUCCUGUCUUUGGCGGUAGAGGAUUCGUUCCUUAUGCUGCCGGUUCACCCAAUGAAAAUAUGCAUCAACCGUUACUCAGUGAGCAGAAAAUUGUGGAGUUGUAACUUCAGGAUUGAUUGUUCGUUGGGUUACUUUGGUGUAAAUAGUCAAAAUUAUAAUUUAUAGGCAGUUCUUCCUGAGCCUCAUCAGUCUAACAAACACGAUACGCCCUGAAAAAUAAAUGUUUUUGGUGUAUAGAGUUUGACUCAUUUGGAUGUGCUUUUAAAAUGUAAAGCGCUUUUAGGGAAAAUGUUUUUGGGUUCCAAAAGCACUUUAAGUGUUUUUGUAAGAAGCACCAGUUAUGUACUUCUUCCAGGAAGCAUUUAAGUGCUUUUUCAAAAUUUAUUUACAUUUUUACUAAGGAUUGGUUCCAAAAACAUUUUCACCAAAAACGCUUUUAGUUAUUUUAAAAGUACAUCCAAACAAUAUUUUGUAGUAUUGUAUAUGGAGCUUAUGAAAGAAAUAGGAUCAAUUACUGUGCCUUGGUGUACAAGAUAGUGUUUUCAGUCAAUACAAGGAGGAGGACAUAAAACCAAAGCCUCGUCGGAAACAGACAUAAAGUAGACAAAGGUCAAACCGUGAGUGAAAUAGUAUAAAGAAUUACACAAGGCCACGCAAAACAAGAUUAAGAUAGUAAGUAAAAUAUUACUUUAUUCGAAAUAACAACAUGACAGAUGACUCCAAUUUCACACCAUAACUUCAACUUGUACUCAUCACCCUGAAAUAAACUCGAUGUGAUGCUCUUUGUUUCUCUCUUCACCUGAUUGACACUCUCAGAUCUCUAUCUCCUUACGUAGUGACGAGAAGAGGCUUCGAGGCAGUAUCAUCGCCAGGCUUAUCGGGAGUGUCAUCCUUAGGCUUAGUGGGAGUAUCAUUGAAGCAACCACAGCAGCACAAGAUCCUGCAAUACCACCGACAGCAACACAUUUCAGAUUUGAUUUCAUAACUUCUUAUGCUCUAUAAAAAAGAAUGAUAAUUAGAAAUAAAAAUAUAAAGGGGUUGUUGGUCACAGAUCAUAAUUACCAAGAACACCAAGUAGCACUACUGUCAACUCCUGCAGCGCCGCUAGAUUCUCCUGCGACAUUGACAUGUGCUCUUCCGCCGCCUCCAGGCCCUCCUCCUCCGCCUACAGGCCCUCCUCCUCCGCCUACAGGCCCUCCUCCUCCACCGCCACCUCCACCACCUCCACCUCCACCUCCACCACCACCACCUCCACCCCCUCCUCCACCACCGCCUCCUCCGCCGCCGCCAGGUGCCAUCACUAACCCUUUAAACAAGUGAGAGUAGCAAAUGCCAACCCAAAAGAAGACAACUUAAUUUCAAUCGGACUUUGGAGAUGUUGCUCUGAUCAGUCUGAUCCCAAUAAGAAUAUAUAGAAAUCUCAAUAAGUUGAGUUUGAUUACCAAUUAGUCCCACUUGUUUUAAGGUCUUUUUAUAUUUCAUUCUAUAUCAUAACUAAUUGAUUUGUUGCAAGACUUGCAUGUGGCAUGCAUUCUGUACUUUCAAAAUUUUCUUUUAUCAAUAGGAGGUUCCGAGAAGAAUACGAACUUGAGACCUUUUCAAUACUGAAAAGAAAAUUAGCAUAUGUCGUGUUUUUCUGUCUUUUAUUUCCAAUUUAACACAAUUGAAAUCUCAUUUUGGCGACACUGGUUUUAAGCAGUACUUAGCUGCUGUUUGUUACUCUCAAGCUUCAAGUUCUCCCAUUUAGUUUACUACCUAGUUGCAAUAUAUGAUUCUACUUGAACUUUAUUUCUAGGUAAACCAAGCCUUUGGCAUAUUAGUUCCAUCAUGCAUAAAUAGGAUACAUGAUUUAAUUCAUGCAUUCAUAAUAACUUUAAGUUGCUACAUAUACAUACAUAUAUAUAACUAGUCCGCGCAAGUAUACGCUCGGGUCUUGACAAUACCAGCUCUUGAAGGUGAACAUGUACAAAUUAACACAUCAAACAACUCUUCACUCAAAACCACAAGUCAUACCAGACAACUAAUUACAUCAUCAGCAACUUGCAUGCAGUUGAUUACGUUAUGGUUAAGUUAAGUAGUGAGUUAUAAAUUCAAGUCAACAAUUUAUAUGUUUUAAUUAAUUAGUCCCUAAUUAAGCCAAUAAUUCUAUAAUUUCGCAAAUAAUGAAAGACUGAAAUGGUCAAGUCCUCAACAUUUAAUUAAUGGAGUAAUUAAUUAACGAGUAUAUUUUACUAUAUUUCGAUGAGAUCGUCAACAAUUAGCGGAGUAAUUAAUGGGCUGUUCUUAAAAAUUAGUUCUAAUAAAUCAGACACAAUUGCACAGACAUGUUCUCAUGUACAAAUUAUACUUGGAACCCGCAUACAUGGACAAAGAUUGUCAUGUGAUCGUGUUUUGUUUUCACACUGCAGCGACCACUGUUAGUAAAUCUGUAAAUAUAUACAAAUUAAUACAUGAAACUUGGAUAAAGAAGUAGCGUGACUGUUAAUUUCAGACAUUUUCAUCUUCUGUUUGUUGGUAAGGAUGUCUGGACACUGAAAAAGUUGGAAACUUAUAAGCAAGAAGUACGUAUUUACGGUCGACUUGUUAGAGGGGACCUCGUUCCACUGUUCAUGGACUGUUAAGGGUUAAGCUUUAGGCCGCACGGUAUAUGUUUACACAAUCCUAUUUACACAAUCCUAUUUAUAUCCGCUCAAUAAAACUAACUAGAUAUAUAUCUUAUGCACAUAUAUAUAUAUAUAAAAAUUUAACCUGGGGACCUUGGGGUCAAUUCAAUUCAAUAUAUAAUAUAUAAUUAACUUGGGGACCUUGGUCAAUUCAAUUCAAUAUUACUUGGCCAGGUUCUUUUUGGGUUCUCUACCGGCAACAUUGAUUGGCUUUAAACAGAUUGGUUAUGUAGAGGACAGCACCACCGGAGGUUGAAGAUCCUCCUCCUCCUGCGACUGCGCGCUUAAUGUAUGGCCUAUUGGUAAUGGCGUUUGAUCUUUUGCUGAUUAUUUGGCUCUUGAACUCAUUGACAUGACUCAAACAGGUGGAGAUGGUAUGGUACGCAUUUGGCCGAAAUGGGUAACCACUAGGUUCUAGCUAUGUGUUAAUUGUGAUGGCGAAUGGUGAUGAGUUGUGGUCGUGGUAGGAUGAUCCGGGUACUGUCCCAUGGGAUUUAGGCAAGAUGAUCCCUUGCUAACGACGUUAGCGAGAUCCAAAUUCCUGUAGCAUUCCGGUCCACCUUGCUAACGAGCGCUUGUUCUGCGAUUACUAUAGGAAAAUGUUUUAUGAUGGUUUCAUAAGUCCUGCCUAAUAUGCAUCAAUCGCUACUUGGGGAGCAAACAGCCGUAGAAUAAUAUUUAUAACUUGUAGGCACUAGGCAGUGCUAGCUCCCUCUGAGCCCCAUCGAUCAGAAGAGGCAAAAUGCUUUGUAAAAUGAUGUACAACCUAAACGUUCUUCUCAGCACUUGAAUUUUCAAUAAAAAUCAUGUGCUUGUAGCAAAACGCUAUGAGCAGGAGCGAUUUCUACAUGAGCAUCUCCAACAAGUCGUUGAACUCCUUUCUAUCUCACAAUUCCUUUGACAUAAAGGUUGGCAGAUUUUGCAGUAUGCUUGUAGUUGGAAUUUUUUUUCGAUAUAAACACUCAUGUCAAUAAAAUGAUCUGAAUCCGUUAUUUUAUUGGAAAAAGAAAUUGGAAAAAAUGCAAAAGGACUUCUGAAUUUGAUGAGAAAAAGAACGAGGUUCUUUCUCAAGAGGAUUGCUCAGUCAGUACAUCAUCGAUUUGGAAGAGAUUAAAGAACAAGAUUAUUCAAAGUUAUAGUUUAACAAAAUGAUUCAGAAUUCACACUCUGUACCCUGGUCAAUGAAUAAAGUAACACACUUCUAAAAAUAAACAGUGUAGUGGUAAAACAAAUUGGCAUCACAAGAUUCAGUAGGGAGGUGGUCCUCCUGGAGGUCCAUAUCCACCAUGAGGACCUCCGCCGAAGCAUUCAUGCAGCAAACCGCAGCAGCACAAGAAGUAGAAGCUGCAAUAUUCCAGUUUCCCCAGCAAUAACAAGAAGUAAACACUUCAGAUUUCAAUUCAUAACCUUCGAAUAUUUAAAGGGAAGCGAUUUUAACACUCCUCUUUUAUCUGAACUCCAAAACCGAAGAUGUAUAACUUUUUAUGCAUUCGCAAGUAGAGUUCGGGAUGCUAGUUGAGAAGUAUUAAAAUCGCCGAAACGACAAACUUUGCAAGCAGUGUCAAAAUAAAUAAACAUCAGAAUGGUGCAUAAGAAUAAUGAUCAGAAACAAAAAUGCUGUAAGGGUGUGUUAUCGUAAUUACCAAGAAGAUAUCAUGCUGCAUAAUCCAUCAGCAAACCCUCCAAAAAAGCCAGGUCCUCCUCCCAUGAAACCAAGACCCCAAGGGCCUCCCAUGCCAAAGCCCCAGCCACCAGGUCCUCCAGGCAAGGGUCCCCAUCCACCGGGUCCCCCAGGCCCUGGCCCCCAUCCGCCAGGUCCCCCAGGUCCAUGGCCGCCCCAUCCACCAGGGCCGCCCCAUCCUCCAGGGCUGCCCCAUCCACCAGGUCCUCCAGGCCCAGGGCCUCCCCAUCCACCACCGCCUGGGCCUCCCCAGCCACCACCGCCUGGGCCUCCCCAGCCACCUCCGCCUGGGCCUCCCCAGCCACCUCCUCCUGGACCGCCACCGCCCGGUCCUCCUCCACCAGGUCCUCCAGGAUCCAUCACUAGCCCUCUAUCUUACAAUUUAACAGCCGCAGCCACCACCCAAUGAGGCAACAAAAGUAAGACUGCCUAGAUGUAGCUGAUCCGAAUAGAGAAUAGAAUAUCAAAGCUAACUAAACAAGUUUUCAGUUGACUGUAUGUAAACAAAAUCAAC